rnacentral:rRNA from 1 species
GUGUCAGCAGCCGCGGUAAUACGGAGGGUGCAAGCGUUGUUCGGAAUUACUGGGCGUAAAGCGCGCGUAGGCGGCUUGGCAAGUCGGGUGUGAAAUCCCCAGGCUCAACCUGGGAAUGGCAUCCGAAACUGCUUCGCUAGAGUCUCGGAGAGGAAGGCAGAAUUCCCAGUGUAGGGGUGAAAUCCGUAGAUACUGGGAGGAAUACCCGUAGCGAAGGCGGCCUUCUGGACGAUGACUGACGCUCAGGCGCGAAAGCGUGGGGAGCAAACAGGAUUAGAUACCCUGGUAGUCCACGCCGUAAACGUUGUGCACUAGGUGUCGGGAGUAUUCACCCUCUCGGUGCCGGAGCUAACGCAUUAAGUGCACCGCCUGGGGAGUACGGCCGCAAGGCUAAA